GCCAGCAUGGCGUAGUGGUUUGAGCGUUAAACUAUGACUCUGGAGACCAAGAUUUGAUUCCUCAUUUGGCC